GACGGAGGGGGCUAGCGUUAUUCGGAAUUACUGGGCGUAAAGGGCGCGUAGGCGGAUUAGUAAGUUGGAAGUGAAAGCCCAAGGCUUAACCUUGGAACUGCUUUCAAAACUGCUAGUCUUGAGUAAAGUAGGGGGUGAUGGAAUUCCUAGUGUAGAGGUGAAAUUCUUAGAUAUUAGGAGGAACACCGGUGGCGAAGGCGUUCACCUGGACUUUAGCUGACGCUGAGGCGCGAAAGCGUGGGGAGCAAACAGG
rnacentral:rRNA from 1 species